UGCUGGAAUCAGCCUGCGUCCAGACUGUUCCUCCUCUUCAGUUGGCACCAGUGUGCUACAUUUUGCAACAGCCUCAAAGUCUUUUUCCCUUCCUCUCUGACCUUGUUCUGCUUCACCAUUUCUCCUUUUGGGACCUUUCUGGGAAGAUUGCUAUCUUCAUAAAAGCUUCAUUUGAUUAUUUCCCGCCUGACCUCUGACAUUACAUGUAUGGGCGGAUCCACUCGAAGAGGUGUGGGGUAGACUAUUUGAGACCAUGUAGGUAGGUAGGUAGGUAGACUAUUUGGGACCAUGUAGGUAGGUAGGUAGACUAUUUGGGACCAUGUAGGUAGGUAGGUAGACUAUUUGGGACUAUGUAGUUAGGUAGGUAGACUAUUUGAGACCAUGUAGGUAGGUAGGUAGGUAGGUAGACUAUUUGGGACCAUGUAGGUAGGUAAGUAGACUAUUUGAGACCAUGUAGGUAGGUAGGUAGACUAUUUGGGACCAUGUAGGUAGGUAGGUAGACUAUUUGGGACUAUGUAGUUAGGUAGGUAGACUAUUUGGGACCAUGUAGGUAGGUAGGUAGACUAUUUGGGACCAUGUAGGUAGGUAGGUAGACUAUUUGGGACCAUGUAGGUAGGU
ensembl:lncRNA